CAGCAGCCGCGGGAACACGUAGGGUGCAAGCGUUAAUCGGAAUUACUGGGCGUAAAGCGUGCGCAGGCGGUUUGUUAAGACAGAUGUGAAAUCCCCGGGCUCAACCUGGGAACUGCAUUUGUGACUGGCAAGCUAGAGUAUGGCAGAGGGGGGUGGAAUUCCGCGUGUAGCAGUGAAAUGCGUAGAUAUGCGGAGGAACACCGAUGGCGAAGGCAGCCCCCUGGGCCAAUACUGACGCUGAGGCUCGAAAGCGUGGGGAGCAAACAGGAUUAGAUACCCCCGUAGUCCCUGUCUCUUAUAC
rnacentral:rRNA from 1 species